rnacentral:rRNA from 1 species
AUUGAACGCUGGCGGCAGGCCUAACACAUGCAAGUCGAGCGGAUGAAGGGAGAUUGCUCCUGGAUUCAGCGGCGGACGGGUGGGUAAUGCCUAGGAAUCUGCCUGGUAGUGGGGGAUAACGUCAGGAAACGGGAGCUAAUACCGCAUACGUCCUGAGGGAGAAAGGGGGGGAUCUUCGGACCUCGCGCUAUUAGAUGAGACUAGGUGGGGUUAGCUAGUUGGUUGGGUUAAGGCGUACCAAGGCGACGAUCCGUAACUGGUCUGAGAGGAUGAUCAGUCACACUGGAACUGAGACACGGUCCAGACUCCUACGGGAGGCAGCAGUGGGGAAUCUUGGACAAUGGGCGAAAGCCUGAUCCAGCCAUGCCGCGUGUGUGAAGAAGGUCUUCGGAUCGUAAAGCACUUUUAGUUGGGAGGAAGGGCAGUAAGUUAAUACCUUGCUGUCUUGACGUUACCAACAGAAUAAGCACCGGCUAACUUCGUG